rnacentral:snoRNA from 1 species
CUGCUGCUCAAGUUUCCGCUACAGAUGCAAGAAAAAAGUGUCCUUGCACUUUCUGCCUAUCUGAUUGUGGCAUCCCAGACUGAAUGGGGGAAUACAAGG